rnacentral:rRNA from 1 species
GAUGAACGCUAGCUACAGGCUUAACACAUGCAAGUCGCGGGGCAGCAUGGGGGUUGCUUGCAAUCCCCGAUGGCGACCGGCGCACGGGUGAGUAACGCGUAUCCAACCUGCCCUUCACCACGGGAUAACCCAGCGAAAGUCGGACUAAUACCGUAUGUUGUCCAUUGACGGCAUCCGAUUUGGACGAAAGGUUUGGCGGUGAAGGAUGGGGAUGCGUCCGAUUAGCUGGACGGCGGGGUGACGGCCCACCGUGGCGACGAUCGGUAGGGGUUCUGAGAGGAAGGUCCCCCACACUGGAACUGCGACACGGUCCAGACUCCUACGGGAGGCAGCAGUGAGGAAUAUUGGUCAAUGGGCGUAAGCCUGAACCAGCCAAGUAGCGUGCAGGAUGCCGGCCCUAUGGGUUGUAAACUGCUUUUAUGCGGGGAUAAAGUGGCCCACGUGUGGGUUUUUGCAGGUACCGCAUGAAUAAGGACCGGCUAAUUCCGUG